rnacentral:rRNA from 1 species
CCCUUAGAUGUCCUGGGCCGCACGCGCGCUACACUGACAUGUUCAACAAGCCUCCUAGUUCGACAGGAUUUGGGAAAUCUUUGAACGCAUGUCGUGAUAGGGAUAGAUCAUUGCAAUUAUUGAUCUUGAACGAGGAACUCCUAGUAAACGCGAGUCAUCAGCUCGCAUUGAUUACGUCCCUGCCCUUUGUACACACCGCCCGUCGCACCUACCGAUUGAAUGUUUCGGUGAAGAUUCCGGAUAGGACUUUUUUGAUUUAUUUCAAUUUUGUCUUAAAAGCUAUCUAAACCUCAACAUUUAGAGGAAGGUGAAGUCGUAACA